ACUCGCUCAUGCUUGCUUUCCAGUUGCACUGAUGCAGAAUUAUAAUGUUGGAUAUUCAAAACGAUGCAAUCAGAGACUCACAGAAAGAUUAUCCUAAAAUGUUAACAUAUGUUCUAUCCAUAGGUGUUUAUUGAUUUUCUGAAUUUUCAGCUUGACACGAAGCGUCACCCAUUCCUUCUCUCCAUAGAUGCUGCCUGGCCCGCUGAGUUAUUCCAGCAUUUUGUGUCUAUCGUCGAUUUAAACCAGCAUCUGUAGUUCUUUCCUACGCAAAGUAAAGCUAAGGAUGGCUUUGUAAAUUUUAGUUGUUGUCAUAGUGUCUUUUUGAAGAGGUUAUGACAACCUUUGCAAUUCUUAACGUUUGAAAUAAUGGAAUUGUAAACAGGUUUUUUUUGCAUACAAUUUGCUAAAUGUUUGCAAACAAGGGUUAUGAUGUUUCAAAUGGAAAACUGCCAAGUAGCAUGAUUAAAACUGCAGGGAGAGUUUGUUCUCAAUUGGAGACCUAAAAUACCAGUGGAAUGGAAUUACAAUUCUUCUAAGGCAUGACAAAACUUGUUCAAUAUCAAGAAAGAAUUGUAACGCUGGUGUUUCAGAAAUGAAUAUACAUUUUCUAUGCAAACAGUAAUCUUAACCUUACUAAUUUUUCUUGUCCUUUCCCCUGAUACAUAUGAUUUGGAACACUGAUAAAUACAGAGGCAAAAUCUUAUCUGUGGAAAGCACCAAGGCAGCGUGAAUCUAAAAAAGUUCCUCUUCUCAUAUGUCCACGGCUUGACCAUCUUUAGAUACUGAAGACAUUUGACUGGUACUUGGAUAAGACGGGCAAAGAGGGAUAUGGGCCUAAUGCAGGAUACGUACAGCUGGGAGGAUGUGUGACUGCUGGCUGCCGAUUCAUUCAAGAUCAAGAACUGAUGGGAACUGAAGCUAACAUCACUUUCAGAGACAGACAGUUCAAUGCCAAAUUCUGAAAGAUCAACUUCGC